rnacentral:pre_miRNA from 1 species
UGCUGCUGAUGAUGAUGAUGAUGAUGAUGAUGAUCAUGAUGGUGCUGCUGCCAUACUGCUGCUGGUUUAUCGUCAUCAUCAUUAUCUUGAGGC